CCUACGGGAGGCAGCAGUGGGGAAUAUUGGACAAUGGGCGAAAGCCUGAUCCAGCAAUGCCGCGUGAGUGAUGAAGGCCUUAGGGUCGUAAAGCUCUUUUACCAGGGAUGAUAAUGACAGUACCUGGAGAAUAAGCUCCGGCUAACUCCGUGCCAGCAGCCGCGGUAAUACGGAGGGAGCUAGCGUUGUUCGGAAUUACUGGGCGUAAAGCGUACGUAGGCGGUUAUUCAAGUCAGAGGUGAAAGCCCGGGGCUCAACCCCGGAACGGCCUUUGAAACUAGGUAGCUAGAGUCUUGGAGAGGUCAGUGGAAUUCCGAGUGUAGAGGUGAAAUUCGUAGAUAUUCGGAAGAACACCAGUGGCGAAGGCGACUGACUGGACAAGUACUGACGCUGAGGUACGAAAGCGUGGGGAGCAAACAGGAUUAGAUACCCUGGUAGUCCACGCCGUAAACGAUGAUAACUAGCUGUUCGGGUACUUGGUAUCUGAGUGGCGCAGCUAACGCAUUAAGUUAUCCGCCUGGGGAGUACGGUCGCAAGAUUAAAACUCAAAAGGAAUUGACGGCUGAGACGNGCGAGACGACGACGAGGAGAG
rnacentral:rRNA from 1 species